ensembl:lncRNA novel transcript
AAAGAAAGAAAGAGAGAAAGAAAGGAAGGAAAGAAUGGAACACAAAAGAGGGCUCAGAGUGAAGAUAUGGAUUGAUCAGAUGACUGAGACUAGAAAUGUGACCAGUGGAACAAAACAGAGACCUCAGAAAUGACACCACACAUCUACAACGAUCUGAUCUUUGACAAACCUGACAAAAAACAAGCAAUGGGGAAAGGAUUACCUAUUUAAUAAAUGGUGUUGGGAAAACUGAAUAGCCAUAUGCAGAAAGCUGAAACUGGAUCCCUUCCUUGCACCUUAUAUAAAAAUUAACUCAACAUGGAUUAAAGACUUAAAAGUAAGACCUAAAACCAUAAAAACCCUAGAAGAAAACCCGGGAAAUACCAUUCAGGACAUAGGCAUGGGCAAAGACUUCAUGUCUAAAACACCAAAAGCAAUGGCAACGAAAGCCAAAAUAGACAAAUGGGGUCUAAUUAAACUACAGAGUUCUGCACAGCAAAAGAAACUACCAUCAGAAUGAACAGGCAACAGAAUGGGAGAAAAUCUUUGCAAUCUAUCCAUCUGACAAACGGCUAAUAUCCAGAAUCUACAAAGAACUCAAACAAAUUUACAAUAAAAAAAACAACCCCACCAAAAAGUGGGCAAA